CAACAACCGAGGGUGUAAGGUAAAGGCUGAAUAUUGUAGAUUUAUUACAAUAUGUUGCAUGUUUGAAUUAAAAUACCUGUGGAUAUGCAGGAGCACACACUCUACAAAGGCCUGACUGGAGAUUUGCCUGAUCUAUCCGUCCUUCAGAUGACAGCGGCUCACUUCAAGAGCAGGUGAAGCAAGUUGGGACAAUGUUGAAGACAUUUGCUCGCACUGGGCAAUCAGGUGCAGAUCAAACCCUAAUGCUGCGACGUCUUGGGAGUUUGGCGAUGUUG